rnacentral:lncRNA from 1 species
UUUUAAAAUUUAUUCUCACGUGUAAACACUACAAGCUAGAUCAUGUAUCUUAUUAUUCUCUAAUAUAUUACCUCCCAAGAUCUUCCUUGAAAAGCGUUAAUCAAUUAAUGAUGCCUUUUGUAAUUAGUUUCCAUAUUUUGCGCAAGAAAUUUGAACAAUUUCUAAAAUUGAUUAUAGAGAUUUUCAAAAGAUACAAUCAUACUAUUAACUUCUUUUUUUUUUUUUUUUUUUUUUUAUCGUCAACUAUUACAGACUCAUACUGACUCUGUAAACCAAACCGGGUGAUCUGCAUCCAUGUGAACGACAAAAGACGGUUGCUUCUUAGCACUGUGUGCUAGUCUAUCCGCCAUUGUAUUUUGCGUCCUUGGUACAUAGAUGAUCUCUGAUCUGGUGAAGCUCUCUUUUAGGGUCUUGACAUCCUCCAAGUAAUUUGCAAAAGCUGGCCAUUCAUCUGGUUCCGAAACCAUCUUCACCAAUUGAGAACAAUCCGUUGCAAACGUAACCUGAAACUGACGUAAAUUCCUCAUACAUUCCAUUGCCCAAAGAAGCGCUUCCAUCUCCGCAUGAAGGGGAGAGAUACUAGCCCUCACAUUCCUUGCCCCCAACAAUCCCUCAAAUCCUUCUAAGGUGCUGAGCCAACCUUGUCCUGAAAAAAUGUCCCCC